CGUCAAAAAUUUCAUCUCUCGUCUCCAUUUUUCUUCGUGUUCGAUCGAAGGGUGAAAAUUUUGCGCCGUAGUUUUUCGAGUUUUUCCAAUAAAAUAUUGCUGCGUAUUCACCAAAUUCUAGUGUUUAGAAGAAACUUGUGCUGUGAUAGUCAAAAUUCGAUAGUUGAAGUUUAGAUUUAGUUGGUGUUUAAAGCAGAAAAAAGGCUUAGAAUAUUCGCCCUUGUGCCUCGUUGGUUAGCACCCAGGUUCAGCAGAGCAGAAGCUAGAAGAGAAAAAAAUCCAAUAAUGGGUCGCAAAAAGAAGAAGGCAUCGAAGCCCUGGUGCUGGUACUGCAAUCGCGAAUUCGAUGAUGAAAAAAUUUUGGUGCAGCACCAGAAGGCCAAACACUUCAAGUGUCACAUCUGCCACAAGAAGCUCUACACCGGUCCCGGGCUGUCCAUCCACUGUAUGCAGGUGCACAAGGAAUCGAUUGACAAAGUGCCAAACUCGCUGCCCAAUCGGUCCAACAUAGAGAUUGAGAUCUACGGGAUGGAGGGCAUCCCGCCGGAUGACAUUCGGGAGCACGAAAAGCAGAAGAACGGUGGCACCCGGUCCGACUCCGAAGAGGACGAACCGGCACACAAGAAACCGAAACAGGAAGCGUCUGUUUCCCAGGGCAUGGUAAUGCCUAACAUGAUGACACCCCAUCUGCAGCCGUACGGAAUGAAUCCGAUGAUGGCAACGAUGGGCCAUAUGCCCUACAUGGUUCCUCCCGGAAUGCAGAUGAUGCCACCGAUGAUGGGUGGCCAUCCGCGGCCAUUAUUCCCGGCAGCCGCCACGUCAUCUACAAUCUCCGCCAAUCCCGCUCUGAACAAGGCCACGUUUCCUGCCUAUAGUAGUGCGACGAUCAGUGCGCCGCCCACAACCAAUUCGGCAAACGCGGCGAGUGCAGCUGCUACGGGCGAUGCGGCCAAAUCUUCGACUGUGAUACCCGCCACCGGUACAACUUCCAAAAUAGUGCACCCACCCGAGGAUCUCAGCUUAGAAGAGAUCCGAGCCCGCAAGCCACAGUAUCAGAAAAAGAUAAGCCUGGCGACGCAACAGCUUCUGCAGCAGAAACAGCAGGAGAAACACGCGGCUGCGGCCGUAGCUGCGGCCACGGCAGCUGCUCAGCAACAGCAACAGCAGGUCCAGGCCCAUUUUAAAGCGCUCUCUUCGGCGGCUGCGGCCAGUGUGACCAACACCAUCGUGACCAGCAACCAUGGCAAAGACAGUCGGCUAUUGUCGCCCCACGAGCAAGCAGCCGUGAUAGCGCACGCCCAAGCUGCGGCAGCAAAUCAUCAAAAGCAUAUCGAAGAGCUAAAUCGAGCCGCUAUGAUCCAACGGCUACAGGCAGCGAAUGCAGCGGCCGCUUCGGCUGCAGCAGCUCGACCCGGACUGCCAAUCGGAAUGGUACCGAUGUCGCUAAACGGCCCAAUGCAACUCGUAAACCCGAUGAUGCGACAGGGGCUGGCAAUUGGUCACCCAGGAGCGGCCCUUAUUGGCGGCAAUAUGCUCCGUCAUGGUCCUCCGCAAAUGGGGCUUGGUCCAGGCAUUAUUUGAGUAAAUCUUCCCCAUUUUCCGAACCUCUAUGAUCGAUGAUAAAUGCUAAAAAAAAUCGACACAAAACUUUCAUAAUCGGUAGUGCAUUGUGUAACACAAUUGAUACGAGCCAUCAAAAUGCAAAUAAAAGGAAAGCAAGACAUCAUCCCAAUUCUACCGUAAAUUCACUCUCGUGCAACCUUACCAACCGAGAAAAAGCCCAAACAUGCAAUGUGAAAUUUAAAAUACAACUCCAUUCCCAGCAGCCAUGUGGCCUCAUUGCGCAGAUUCCAGGGGUACCGGGCAUGGGUAUGGUGUUCCCGGGACCGCCCAUGUUGCCGAUGCUGCCUCCCCGUUUCCGGUGAUCAGUUCAGGCCCCAGUGGUGCUGCAGGCUGCUGGCCCUCUGUUGAACUUCGGCCUGCCGAUUGUGUAUCCAUGAGUGCACCCCGAUACGAAAAGCGAAUGAGAUCAUGCAGCACUGCAGCAGCAAAGCACUCAAAACGGGAGGAUACGGAAUGGAUGCCCCAGCUACGGCAGGAUCUUCAUCGACUCUCCAUACCAAGCAAGUGGCAAUUUUUCCUCUAUAAUAUUUUAUAAAAUCCUAAAUACCUAGUGGGUAGUACUAAGAUAGUAAGGCCUUACAUAGUUUUCUAAAGCGUGGGUUGUUACGAGUUUCGAAAGAUUCUCUCUUUGCUUUCCUUUCUGCAAUUCAGGUAGAGAUAACAGCUUAUAACGAUAUCAAGAUAUUAGUGGACUAUAGUAAUUUAAUGUCAGGAUAUUCUUAAAAUAUAAUGAACACAGCUUGAAGCUGUUGACUUGUUGGUAGUGCCAUUCGCUGCCGAACGCUGUAA